UUUUCCCUUCGGCACGUCUGGUUCAGGGUUGUUAAAAAUCAAUAAUACAGUCGUAUCGUAUAUAUGUGUCGUUCGUAUACGUGGAUCGAUGGCGACGAGUAUGAAAGCGAUACUCAUACUAUGUCGUUAAUCUGCGCGUUUUCUGCGUGUACGAAUAUGCUUGCUUCACAUGUAUACACGGUGACUGUUGGUCAAACGGCACUCGUACGAAUCGAUAAUGAUAUCGAUACGAGCGAUUCCCGUUUUAGUGAUGAUUGAAACGAUAGCAACAUGUGUAUAAUAUUAAUACACCGAAUGUGAUGUGUAUGAAUGUGUGAAUGUGURAGAAUAUGUUGCCUAUGUCAUUACUACCGUCGUCGUCGUUGAUAUCGAUUUUCGAUGAGUAUCGUUGAUAGUCGUCGACUCAACGUCGUCGAUGGAUGUGUUAUUGAGUAGUGACAAUAGAUUGAGCUACAUACAUAUAUAAGCGAUAGCACACAGCGACAUUUUUCAUUACGCACAUCAUCAUUAGAAUCUUAUAUAGAUGCAACCUGAACUCAGAUGUGAUUACCCGCUGAACUUAAGCA
rnacentral:rRNA from 1 species